AAGACACUGGAUACACACUUACAGAGUAAGUGUAUUGAGUAUAUAUGUUUGUGAAUUUGUUUUCCCAGCUGUAAAAUGGGGAUGAUAAUAGUACCCAUUUCAUAGGGUUGUUGUGAGGACAAAUUGAUGAAUGUAUAAUUGGCUUACAAAAGGUACUCCGUAAAUUAGAGCUGCCAGAAGAGAAGAGAUCUUAGCACUCUUCUUACUGAGUCCAUUUUAGAGUCCUCAUGCUGGAUUUAUUUGUUCAACAAAUAGUUAUUAAAUAGGCACUGUAUUAAGUACUGAGGAGACAUGUUGACUAAGACACUGUCCAGGGGUGGGAUCUAGAACUAUCUCAUUCAUUGAGUACAUAGUUAUUCACUGACCACCCCUCCUUUUUUUUGAGACAGGGUAUUACUCUGUUGCCCAGGCUAGAGUGCAGGAUGUGAUCAUAGCUCACUACAGCCUCAAACUCCUGGGCUCAAGCAAUCCUCCUGCUUCAGCCUCUCUAAUAGCUGGGACCCCAAGUGUGCACCACCACAUCUGUCUCCACCGUCUAUUAAUCAGAUUUUCUUUUCCGUGAUCUUCUUCAAGGACGAGAACUUUAUCAUUCAGCCUUCUAUGUCCGUAGUGCUCAUCUGCUCAUCACACGGUAGGUCCUCAUAAAUGUUUGCUCAGUUAAAAUGCAGCUUCCAGGUCAGGCGCAGUGGCUCACCCCUGUAAUCCCAGCACUUUGGGAGGCCAAGGCAGGUGGAUCACUUGAGGUCAGGAGUUCAAGACCAGCCUGGCCAACAUGGUGAAACCCCCUCUCUACUAAAACUAUAAAAAUUAGCUGGGCAUGGUGGUGGGUGCCUGUAAUCCCAUCUGCUCUGGAGGUUGAGGCAGGAUAACCCGGAUGCUUGAACCCAGGAGACGGAGGUUGCAGUUAGCCGAGAUGGUGCCAUUGCACUCCAGCCUGGGUGAGAGAAAAAGGCUCUGUCUCAAAAAAAAAAAAAAAAAAAAAAAAAAAAAAAAAAAAAAGUAGCUUCCAUACCAAACGUCUUUUAAUUUGGCCUGUUAUAUAAAGAUGUUCUAAAAUAUGUGGUCAAAAGGAGGAACUAUGUAUGUUAAUUAAACACACCAAUAUACUUUAAGAAGUUAUUGUCUAAAUGCCUUUCUAAAGUGAUAUCUAUUUUGUCCCAAUUACAAAUUAUUCAUGGUUAUUCCUAAAACUGGUAAAUGCAGAAUAUUAUAAAGAAAAAAUACAAUUCACUAACAAUCAUAACCCUCUUUGACAUUUUGAGACAUUUCUUUCUAAUUAU
rnacentral:lncRNA from 1 species